GGCCAGCUAACACUCUCAUCAGAAAGUUGCCUUGUUAAGGAUUGGGGUCCUGCAGGGUGAACUGAGGGGGUGGUGCCGUUUCCCCACAGUCUUGGCAAUUAACUCAGCUCCAGAGAGACGGAAUCAAAGGUUCCACCAGGACGACAGAAUCCCAGAGCAAAGUUGCCUGUCAAGUGCAGGGUUGCUGCUAAGCAAAGCCAAGGAACUAUGUGGAGCCCAGGAGAGUGGCCUAAUGUGAAACAUCCUGUCGUUCACUUGCCUUCUUUACAAAGGAAAUCACCUGUGAUUUAUCAAUGGGAAAGUGUGCCAAGUCAAUCAUUUAACAUAUGAAGUGUUUUGUUUUUGGAAUGGCAUCUUGCUCGAUAACCCUGACCAGCCUGGAACACAUACCACGCAUCCUAGCCUUGCGUUUGCAACAACACACCUACUUCAGCUGCUUGAAUGCUGAGACUACAGGUGUGUGUCACCAAACCUGGCUUCACAUACUUCUUGUGUGUGUGUGUGAUGAGAACACUUGGAAUUUACUCAUCAGAUUUCAAAGUACAAUAUG